GCUACACCAACAAACCUCCGGUAGUAAAAAAAAUUAAAACCAAUAAAACUUGGCGGUUACCGAAAUCUAGAGAAACUUGCUUUUUAAUCGAUAAUACCCGUUAAUUUUAACUUUUUUCACAAUUUUUAUACCGCCGUUUCAGGGGGUAAGUCAAAUUACGCACCAUCAAAACAACAGCUCAAAAAUCAGGUCAAGGUGAAAUCUAUAAAAAAGUAAAAGUGAGUUACAUUAAACUAUAAUUUAAGAAAAAGGUAUAGAAACAAUAUUUUGGAAAAAGAAUCUAGAAGUAUGUUUUAUUUAAAAUAUAGACUAGAAAUUAAACUGUAAUGC
rnacentral:rRNA from 1 species